UCGGAUAUGGUGUAACGGCCAACAUUGCCGCCUCUCAUGAUCACGACAUCAACUGCGCGGCAGCUCGGGGCUCGAUUCCCCGUAUCCGAA